UACGUAGGGUGCAAGCGUUAAUCGGAAUUACUGGGCGUAAAGCGUGCGCAGGCGGCUUUGCAAGACAGAUGUGAAAUCCCCGGGCUUAACCUGGGAACUGCAUUUGUGACUGCAUGGCUAGAGUGCGGCAGAGGGGGAUGGAAUUCCGCGUGUAGCAGUGAAAUGCGUAGAUAUGCGGAGGAACACCGAUGGCGAAGGCAAUCCC
rnacentral:rRNA from 1 species